rnacentral:rRNA from 1 species
ACGGAGGGUGCGAGCGUUAAUCGGAAUUACUGGGCGUAAAGCGCGCGUAGGUGGUUAAUUAAGUCAGAUGUGAAAGCCCAGGGCUCAACCUUGGAACUGCAUUUGAAACUGGUUAACUAGAGUUUUGUAGAGGGUGGUAGAAUUUCAGGUGUAGCGGUGAAAUGCGUAGAGAUCUGAAGGAAUACCAGUGGCGAAGGCGGCCACCUGGACAAAGACUGACACUGAGGCGCGAAGGCGUGGGGAGCAAACGGG